rnacentral:lncRNA from 1 species
CUUGCAAGAUGGCGCUGGGAGGAAGGCUGUGAGAUGAGGAACAGGCUGGUAUAGCCCGAGAGCCGAAGGGGAAGGGGGAGCAAAGCGGCUGCUACCGAUGCAAUAAUAAUAAAAAAAGAAAUGACGAGCACCCACAACUCACAUUGAAGUCAACAUCUUUGGGUCAAGUAUGCCCUCAAUCACAGCCUUGCAAUCUCGGUGACUUCAGAGGGACUGUUUACCCAUCUGUCAAACGGGUAUAAUAUUUAUAGCUGCGCUCAAGCGUCCCUGCUGGUUCUUCAUUCAGCAUCUGUGCAGCCACGUUCUAUUGAUGGCCUGUUGUGAUUUCAAUGGAACAUCAUGGGAUGUACCUGGCACGUCAGGCAGCACUGGAUGGAGGUGCCCUUAGUCCAAUGUACCUGGCAUGGUAAGCGGCAACAAAGUGGUUAAC